CCUACGGGAGGCAGCAGUGAGGAAUAUUGGUCAAUGGGCGCGAGCCUGAACCAGCCAAGUCGCGUGAGGGAAGACGGUCCUAUGGAUUGUAAACCUCUUUUGUCGGGGAGCAAAAGACGCCACGCGUGGCGUUCCGAGAGUACCCGAAGAAACAGCAUCGGCUAACACCUUGCAAGCGGCAGCGGUAAUACGGAGGAAGCGAGCGUUAUCCGGUUGUAGUGGGUUUAGGGGGUGCGCAGGCGGAAGAUAAAGGCAGCGGUAAAAUUGAGAGGCUCAACCUCUUCGAGCCGUUGAAACUGGUUGUCUUGAGUGAGCGAGAAGUAUGCGGAAUGCGUGGUGUAGCGGUGAAAUGCAUAGAUAUCACGCAGAACUCCGAUGGCGAAGGCAGCAUACCGGCGCUCAACUGACGCUCAUGCACGAAAGUGUGGGUAUCGAACAGGAUUAGAUACCCCAGUAGUC
rnacentral:rRNA from 1 species